rnacentral:miRNA from 1 species
CCUCAGCCAGCCUGCGGUUGGUGAUCUCCUCGUACUGCGCCUUGACCUCAGCGAUGAUGCUUUCCAUGUGCAGGGAGCAGCUGUUGUCCAUGGACAGCACCACAGACGUAUCCGAGAUCUGGGAAUGCAGCUC